rnacentral:rRNA from 1 species
AGCGAACGCUGGCGGCAGGCCUAACACAUGCCAGUCGAACGAACCUUUCGGGGUUAGUGGCGGACGGGUGAGUAACACGUGGGAACGUGCCUUUAGGUUCGGAAUAACUCAGGGAAACUUGUGCUAAUACCGAAUGUGCCCUUCGGGGGAAAGAUUUAUCGCCUUUAGAGCGGCCCGCGUCUGAUUAGCUAGUUGGUUGAGGUAAUGGCUCACCAAGGCGACGAUCAGUAGCUGGUCUGAGAGGAUGAUCAGCCACAUUGGGACUGAGACACGGCCCAAACUCCGACGGGAGGCAGCAGUGGGGAAUCUUGCGCAAUGGGCGAAAGCCUGACGCAGCCAUGCCGCGUGAAUGAUGAAGGUCUUAGGAUUGUAAAAUUCUUUCACCGGGGACGAUAAUGACGGUACCCGGAGAAGAAGCCCCGGCUAACUUCGUG